AGUCCAUAAUGUGGGCAUUGUAUGAGCAUAUUGUUGUAUCUAUCCCAUGCUUCAAAUAAUGAUUCGGAGUUUGACUGUCUGAAGCUUGCUAUCAAAUUUCUCAUAUA